GUAGGCUAGCGGUUAGGGUGUUCGAAUCCCAGCCGAAAGGUCCCGGGUUCGAUUCCCUAAGGUCCUCAGCCCG